UGGGCUUCUUCAAAUUUCUUCUAAGAGUGAUCAUCCCAAGAGAACCAGGCUGAAGCCAUAUCACCUUUCGCAUGCUAGCCUUGGAAGUAAAAUCAUGUCCUUCUCAUUGUACUCCGUUAAUCAGGGCAGUCGCAAAGAUCCAGCCAGACUGAAUGAGAGGGGACAGACACCAUCAUUCCAUGGCUGCUGCCCAGGCCCACUGCAGACCUGCUAAAUUCGAGCUCCUUGUAGUGGGGCCAGGGCCCUGGGACUUCACACAAAACUCUGCAAGUCAUCACUGAUGAGAAAACCAAGACUCGAUGAGAGUCUCCUGAGCUCGGGGGAAGAAGCUGCAUAACCGGCACACUUCCAGAAAGGACCGAGGAAGAGAGCGUCGCUUCAGCUAGGGAUCUGAUUAGUCAUGCCUGGUAGGCUCUGCUGAGCUGGGGGCUCUUGGGUUUUGCUUGUUGAGCUGAAUUAAUAUAUUAAUGGAUUUCAUGUUUGACUCGCUCUUUCUUUCUCACUGUGCAGGAGCUAAAGGAGUGGAGCUGGGGAUGCAAAUGUUUCUGUUUAGACAGCUGAAGUGGCCAUGCGAGCCCACAGCGAGAGCUGCAGGAGCAGCUACUACAGGGAGUGGGCAGAUUUUAGGAUGUGCAGCUUUGUACUUGGUGUGGCUCGGUUGUACAUUCAGGAAUCUCUUUCCUUGUGAUACAUGGAGCUGCACGUGGAAGAUGUUAGGAAAACAGCUGGGUGCAGUUUUGCUGGUUAGUUCUGAACAAACCUAAAGAUGUGAGAUUUGAACUCUAUAAGGGAAGAAAGUGAGGAGGAAGAAGGCACUGAGGCUGCCUGUCACCAGGAGGGUUCUGGGCAAAACAGGGUAGAGUGACUUGGGACAGUUCCUCUUAACGAUAGCACAGGCAGUAGGGGUUGAGACACAGUGGGGUUGAGACUUGCUUAAAUGUACAGUUAUUCAGUCAACCAUUUUCAUAGAAUAAUUGUGGGUUGUGUGGGUUGUCUUGAGCUGCCGAGUUCACAUGUUCUGCAGUGGAGCACUAUAUGCUAAUGUGAGAUGUGAGUACACCCAGAUUUCACCUGCCCUAGAACGUGGUUUUGUUUUUUUUUAAAGUAAAACAAUGUUGUGGCCAGGUGUGGCCUGAUAGCUUUAAAAACAAAUGGCCUCUGCUGAGGGACACUUGGGUUGUUUCCCUGUCUUUGCUACAGUGAGCAGUGCUGCAGUGGACAUGGGAGGGCAGGCAGCUCUUCUACCCACUGACCUCCUUUCCUAUGGGUUUGUCCCCAGAAGUGGGACCUGCUGGAUCAUAUCAAAGCUCUGUUUGUCUUUUCCUGAGGAAGCUUCAGGCUGUUUUCAUCCGGGCUCUACUAAUUCACAUUCCCACCCACAGUGAAUAAGGGUUCACUCUUCUCCAUAUCCUCACCAACACAGGUUACCUUUUGACUUUUUCAUAAUUGCCAUCCUAACAGGUGUGAGGUGAUAAUUGUUUGCGGUUUUAAUUUGCAUUUCCCUGAUGAUUAGUUGAGGACUUUUUCAUAUACCUGUUGCCCAUUUGUAUGUCUUCUUUGGAACAAUGUCUAUUCAGGUCCUUUGCCCAUUUUUAAUCAGGUUAUUAUUCUUAUUAUUUUACUACUGAGCUGUAUGAGUUUCUUAUUUAUUUAAAAUAUUAACCCCCUUUCAGAUAUAUGGUUUGAAAAUGAUGUCUUUUAUUCCAUAGGUUGGCAGAUGAAUGGACUAAGAAUACGUGAUACACACACACACACACACACAGACACAUGUACUAAAAUAUCUUUCAGCCUUAACAAGAAGAAAAUCUUGCCAUUUGCAAUGAGAUAGAUAAACCUAGAAGACAUUAUGUUAAAUGAAAUAAAGCAAGCACAGAAAAUCACAUACUACACACUUAUAUGUAGAAUCUAGAAAAGUUGGAAUCAUUGAAAUAGAGUAGAAUGAAAGCCACCAACAGCUGGGGGUAGGAGAAACAGGAAGAUGAUGGUCAAAGGUCAGAGGACACAAACUUGCAGGUGUAAGAUGAGUCAGUUCUGGAGACCUAGUGUACAGCGUGGGGACUCUAGUUAAUAAUGUGUUUGACACUUGGAACUUGGAAAGAGUUGAUCUCAAGUAUUCUCACCACACACACACACACACACAAACACACAGGUACUUGUGAGGUGAAGGAUAUGUUAAUUUUCUUGAUUGUGGUAAUCAUUUCACGAUGUGUGUCUAUAUAAAACAUCAUGCUGCACACUUUACAUACAUAGAGUUGUAUAUGUCAAUUUUAUCUCAAUGAAAUGGCAGGUCCUUCCCUUGACCUGCCACCUGACCUGCUACAGUUCAGAGGUUUGAGGCAGGGUAGCAUCACCACCAGUGGAGAUGGAGGCAGUGUUUAAAUAACACACAAUUAUGUUGGGAAGUCAAAGGGGGCACCAGGCUCUCUAAGGAAAAGCUUGGCCUCUUCAGGACAUUCUAGGAGGAUAGCACAUAAUCCACACCCCACACCAUGCCUUUCCCUGGGUGAUGUCAUUCCUGAAUCCACAUCCCACACCAUGACUUUCCCUGGGUGAUGUCAUUCCCGCUGUGGCAUCUGGAUCAUCCACCUGCCAACAGUGCCCAGAGCCUCACCUCCAGACCAGACCCACCCUCUUCAAAUGGCCCACCCUGCAGACCCUCUCGAAGAGCUCACAGGCACCCCCAGAGAAGGUGUCCCAAAUGCCGCCUUCUCUCACCAGCCUGUUCUCACUGAAGUCUUGGUUAUCUUAGUAAAUGGCACCACUACCCAACCAGUUGCUUGAGUCCAUAAAUGUAGGACUUACCAUUCACACCACCCUUUGUCUUAUCACUCAGUUUAAACACAUCUCUCAGCCUUGACCAUUUCACUUUCAAAGUAUACCUUGAAUCUCUGGGUACCUCUUUGUGUUUACAGCCAUCAUCUGACUCUAAGCCACAGACACCUCUCAUCUAGAUAUGACCACAGCCAGUGUCAGCCUGCCAGAUACACACCCUGCUCACAUUCCUGCUUCCCUCCAGUCUAUUCCACUUGCACAUACACGUAUACACUCACACACACUCAUUCACAUGCACACUGCCACACACACAUACACAGCACUGCAUACACUCAUACUCACUUCCAUACCCAUGACCACACACUCACACACGCACACAAUCACAUGCAUGACCACCACACACACUCACACACUCAUGCACAUACAGUCACAUACAAACACGUGAUCUUUAAGAACGUAUGUUAAAUAACAUUGUUUCUACUUAUGAUUCAUCAGUAGCAUCCUGUGGCAUUUUGUAUUUAAUUCAAACUUCUUCACCUGUUCCAGAAGCUCCUGGGAGCCAUGGCCCCUGCCGGCCCCCCAGGUUCCCCUGAUACCACACCCUGCACUGCCCAGUCCCUCCACACUGACCCCCUUUAGCUGCUCAAAGUCUUCCUCUGCCCCGUAGUUUCCACACAGGCCCUCCCCUGCUGGGGUGCUCUCCCUGCCAGUCCUGGCCUGGCUAUUCCUCCCAUAGACCCCCCUGAUGGAAGGAGGCUCCUUGGACCCAGGCACUGCUCCUGUGCUGGUCUCCAUGGGGCCUCGGUAGUGGACAUUGUGUCCAUUGUUCACUGAGUGAGUGAGCGUUCACUUGCUUACAGUGUGUGUCCUACACACUAUGCUCCAUGAGGGAAGGGACUGAUUUGCUCAUCACUGAAAUGCUGGAGUUUCUGGUAUUCAACACAUGCUCAGUAAGACCUGACUGAACAACUCAAUACCAUCUCCACUAUAGAGACACCCACAGAGUGCGGCAGAGGCAGCCAUGGGCCAAUGUUUAGGUGACUGAGUUUCUGAUGCCAUCACAGGCCCUAAUUCCCCAUGUGAAUUUGGGCAAAUUGCUGUACCUCUCUGAGCGCAACUUCCUCACCUGUAUGUAAGAGGGUUUACAUCAGGCAUCUUUAUGGCCCUGAAUUAUGAAAAAGUAAGAAGACUUCGCUUCCUGGGGUCUUUGGGGCUGGCCUGUUAUGUUUGCAGGGAGCCUGGCAGUGUUCCUGUGCUGUCCUCCCUUUUUUGGCUUGAAGUGUUGACAGCAUGUGUGCUUACUUGCUGGAGAUCCCAUGGUGUGUAAAGCUGUGGUUGUUGGAUUUGGUAACAGUCUCUGCUGGAGCUUGCACAGCAAGCUACGGGGCAGAGGAAGACUUUGAACUCCAGAGCAGUGGAACUGGCAACUCCCUAGGAUCCUGAUCCUCAUCAGUUUGGACGUUUCUUGUAGCCAUGUGACCCAUCUGUGUCUCUACUUGCCUUUAUGGGACCGAAGACCACCUGACCGUGGCUCCAUGUGAAUGUGAAAUCAGGUCUGGAGUGGGAGAGCAGUGGGUGCCGCCCCGCCGGCUGCGACACUGGGCUGGAGUCUCUGGUGGGUGGUGGACCCAUUGAGCUGGCAGCGUGCACCUGAUCUCAUCCCGAGGGAAUCCACGUGGUGUUUUCCUUGUUUUCUGGUGAAAAUAAUUGGGUGCAAUGAGAGAGCUGAGCCACCUGUGUGCCAGGUGCCAGAGAUCAGUGGCCUCACCAUAAACUUGGCCAGGGCAGAAGAUGGCUGAAGGUCAAAGUAGCUGCAAGAGGUGUUGUUAUCAGGCAUGAAGAUAAAUCGCUUGAUAUCAGCUUAAAAAUGACAAGAAUAAAGCUUCUCCUUUACGCUGCCUGAGACCCUGUUUGCUGACAGUGAUGGGUGUGAGCUAAAGCUCACUUGCUCUUGCCCCUUCAGAUACAAUCAGCUACUGUUCUGCAGAGAUGGGCAUCUGCCAACCUGCACAGUCCGGUGUUUUGAUAGAGCAACUCUCUCGAUAUUCUUCUCUAACCCCCUCUUACCCUUCGGGCAUUUCAAACACUGUCCUGGACUCUUCUCCCUCACCUGCAGCACAGAGGCACAGAGUGAAGAAGAAACACAGCACCAGGACCCUCUUUCCUAUCUGUUUAGAGAGAAGAUGGUGGAGAAGGUUUGGGCGGGAAAGUAAAUAGAGACCAAGGGUAGGAGGAGAGAGGGGCAGGAUGGGAGGGAGACAGGGCAUGAGGGAGAAAGAGAAGUCAUUGAUGGGCAGAGGGUGAAGGGAGAAGAGGAGAGAGAAAAUGAGGGGUAGAGAGAAGCUUGCCAUGGAGGGCACAGAAUGCAUUUCCCCCUCAGAACACUGGCUUGAAGCAGAGAAAAUGAAUUUUAGUGAUAUUCAAGGUUGAAACACUCACCAGCAAUAGACACACUUAGAAAUAGCUUAAUAAAUGCAUUAACAAUCUACAAAGACACAGAAAGUUCCAAGAAUUCUAAAUCCUCUCUUCCCUCUAG
rnacentral:lncRNA from 1 species